AACGCGGCCCUCAGGGAGGACGGCAGAGUGAGUCCACAGCCUUCUCUCCACUCACCUCCUCUCCCUCCUCCGUCCCCUGCAGUGCCCGCCGCCCUGACCUUGGACCCGGGCACUGCCCAUCAGCGCCUGAUCCUGUCCGACGACUGCACCAUCGUGGCCUAUGGCAACCUGCACCCACAGCCGCUGCAGGACUCGCCGAAGCGCUUCGACGUGGAGGUGUCGGUGCUGGGCUCCGAGGCCUUCAGCAGCGGCGUCCACUACUGGGAGGUGGUGGUGGCGGAGAAGACCCAGUGGGUGAUCGGGCUGGCCCACGAGGCGGCCAGCCGCAAGGGCAGCAUCCAGAUCCAGCCCAGCCGCGGCUUCUACUGCAUCGUCAUGCACGACGGCAACCAAUACAGCGCCUGCACCGAGCCCUGGACCCGGCUCAACGUCCGCGACAAGCUUGACAAGGUGGGCGUGUUCCUGGACUACGAUCAGGGCCUGCUCAUCUUCUACAACGCCGACGACAUGUCCUGGCUCUACACUUUCCGCGAGAAGUUCCCGGGCAAGCUCUGCUCCUACUUCAGCCCCGGGCAGAGCCACGCCAAUGGCAAGAACGUGCAGCCGUUGAGGAUCAAUACCGUGCGCAUCUAGGGCGGCGGAGGGAGCCCCAGACGCCGCCUGCGGCGCGGCCACCCGCAGGAGCGCGGCCCAGGGGAGGAGAGGCCUGGACUCCGGUCCAGCAUGGCCACCGUGAGGUCUCAAACCGCUUGUUUACCCUUCAGCCUCCGUUUCCCGUCUGUAAAAUGGAGGUCGUGCUCCAUGAUUCCUAAACUCUAUCAGCAUUGAUGUCCUGUAGUUCUGACCUUGAUGGGGAGGCAGCUUUGGUCCAAGGAUGUGAUGUGGCUUCUCCUCGGGGCAGCCUCUGCCCAGCCCUCAUCCCCAUCCUCUGGGGGUGGGGGCCAGGGGGACCACCUCCCUAUGUCUCCCUCCUGCCCACGCGCCCUGAUCUCAGGAUGUGUCAGAGUGUUGCCAGCAUUCGGCAGCCCAAAAGAUACACAGGAACCCUCUCAUGCUCCCACGUCUAAGACUUGCCCCUCACUAAGCCACGGGCCAUGUUACCCUUGACCCCAGCCCACAGUGGACACAGGCAGUAGCGGAUCCUAGGGUUGCCCGAGAACCCUUCUACCUCCAGACCAAGAGCUUUACGGUUCCUAUUUUUCCCACUGACCUGCAGGUAGAGAUGAUGUUGUGACCUGUGAGAGGCACCAGUCAAUGAGCCCACGUUAUAGUCACUGUGCCACCACCUUCCAGCCCACGGGUGGAAAAGCAGGAUGACGGCACGCCCCGGGCCCGACGCAGAGACCAGUAGCCUAAAGGCAGCUGCAGGCCAAGCAUCACUGGCUGAUGGAGGUCCCCAGAAGCUUGGAUAAGGGUCCAACCAGGCCUCUGUGACCAGAUUAGGGUGCAGGGAGCGGUGUCUCGUUCAGGACCUGAGCACUGGGACAGGCUGUUGGCUGGGACUUCCCAUCAGGCUUGGCAUCUGUCUCCAUUCGGAAUCUGUUGCAGAUAACAAGAGCUGUUUUAGCUGGUUUAAUUAGACAGGAUUUAUUAUCACAUCCCUGAUGGCUUUGCAGAAUCAUUGGAAGGACUGGAGGAGCAGCCUCUGCUAGAUUUCCAGGAAUAACUCCCAGCCGCCAGAUUCAUCAUGCCUGUCCUGAUCAGAAACGCUGCGCCCAUCUGCAGGAAGCCACCGAAUCAGGAAGCCGAGGACCACAGAGCUGUGCUCCCUCCCCUUCUGGCCAUGCCAGCAAAUGGAUGUCAUGAGGCCCGCCUCUCUCCCACUCAAUUUAAUUCCCAAAUCCCAAUCUGGAUGAGGGGCACUGUUGGGGAAACACAAACCCGGCCCAGAACUUUGGCAGCAAGGGUGUCUGGGAAAUGGAUUCUUCUUUCCAGGCCCAGCCACACAAAAAGGGUGCAGAAGGAAGUGAGAGCAGAUGCCGAACAAGCUGGUGCACAGGGGUUCACCUCCAGGUCUUGGCUUUGAAGCAGCAGAGCCUCCAGCUGUCCUGCUCCCUGGCUCUGGCCCUGCCCAGGGGUGACAGCCCCAGGAGGUGGAUCUGCAGGCGUGGCCGAAAUGUCUCAAGCCUCAGCUUUGCUUUCUCAGCCAGAGCCUAGAUUUGGAGCUCAUGGGGUCCCUGACCACACUCAUCCCAAAGGAGCCAGACUAGCUGAACUUGGGGGGCUCCCCUCGUAACUGCUGCCCAUUGGCAUCCCUCUCAGGUGGGAGGAAUCCUCAAUCUCACCCCGCCCCUACAUCUACCAGAAUCUGGGCCACCCCCAGCAGUAUUUUUAUUUUAAAUGUUGCCCAUUUUAUGAGUUAUGAUGAAUUUGUAUUAAAGUUACAGAAUGUCA